UGGGGAAUAUUGGACAAUGGGGGAAACCCUGAUCCAGCAAUGCCGCGUGUGUGAAGAAGGCCUGCGGGUUGUAAAGCACUUUCAGUAGGGAAGAUUAUGACGGUACCUACAGAAGAAGCACCGGCUAAGUCCGUGCCAGCAGCGGCGGUAAUACGGAGGGUGCAAGCGUUAAUCGGAAUUACUGGGCGUAAAGCGCACGUAGGAGGUUUGAUAAGUCGGAUGUGAAAUCCCUGGGCUUAACCUGGGAAUUGCAUUCGAUACUGUCUCACUAGAGUCUAGCAGAGGGAUGCGGAAUUCCGGGUGUGGCGGUGAAAUGCGUAGAGAUCCGGAGGAACAUCAGUGGCGAAGGCGGCAUCCUGGGCUAAGACUGACACUGAGGUGCGAAAGCGUGGGGAGCAAACAGGAUUAGAUACCCCCGUAGUCC
rnacentral:rRNA from 1 species